rnacentral:rRNA from 1 species
AUUGAACGCUGGCGGCACGCUUAACACAUGCAAGUCGAACGGUAACAGGCCCCUUCGGGGUGCUGACGAGUGGCGGACGGGUGAGUAAUGCUUAGGAAUCUGCCUAGUAGUGGGGGAUAACCCGGGGAAACUCGGGCUAAUACCGCAUACACCCUACGGGGGAAAGCGGGGGACUUUCGGCCUCGCGCUAUUAGAUGAGCCUAAGUCCGAUUAGCUAGUUGGUAGGGUAAUGGCCUACCAAGGCGACGANCGGUAGCUGGUCUGAGAGGACGACCAGCCA